UCCAGACUCCUACGGGAGGCAGCAGUGGGGGAUAUUGCACAAUGGGGGGAACCCUGAUGCAGCGACGCCGCGUGGGUGAAGGAGCGUUUCGGCGCGUAAAGCUCUAUCAGCAGGGAAGAAGAUGACGGUACCUGAAUAAGAAGCCCCGGCUAACUACGUGCCAGCAGCCGCGGUAAUACGUAGGGGGCAAGCGUUAUCCGGAUUUACUGGGUGUAAAGGGAGCGCAGACGGCAGUGCAAGUCUGGAGUGAAAGCCCGGGGCCCAACCCCGGAACUGCUCUGGAAACUGUGCGGCUAGAGUACUGGAGGGGCAGGCGGAAUUCCUAGUGUAGCGGUGAAAUGCGUAGAUAUUAGGAGGAACACCAGUGGCGAAGGCGGUCAACUGGACAGCAACUGACGCUGAGGCGCGAAAGCGUGGGGAGCAAACAGGAUUAGAUACCCGAGUAU
rnacentral:rRNA from 1 species